UACGAAGGGGGCUAGCGUUGCUCGGAAUCACUGGGCGUAAAGCGCACGUAGGCGGAUUGUUAAGUCGGGGGUGAAAUCCUGGAGCUCAACUCCAGAACUGCCUUUGAUACUGGCGAUCUUGAGUCCGGGAGAGGUGAGUGGAACUGCGAGUGUAGAGGUGAAAUUCGUAGAUAUUCGCAAGAACACCAGUGGCGAAGGCGGCUCACUGGCCCGGUACUGACGCUGAGGUGCGAAAGCGUGGGGA
rnacentral:rRNA from 1 species